rnacentral:lncRNA from 1 species
UAGUUCCUAUUUUAUAAAUGGAGAGAUGAGGCCCUGAGAGCUCUUAUAUGGUAGAACCAGGAUUUGGAUCCAAGUUUGUCUGGUCUGGAGUCCAUGUACUUUCUAUUCUGCACUACUGCUUCUGAAGGAGGACCUGCUGAACCUGGGGCCCUAUAGGAGAGCACUGAUGGCCCACCCCUGAUUGUGGCCCUGGUCUUCAUGUCUGCAUCAGCCUCAGCCAUCUCAAGACCACAACAGGAACAUAGCCAAGUCAGAGAAGGAAGACCAAAAGCACCAGGGCCCUUCAUAUUAUUAAGCUGCUAAAUUAACUAAUCUUGGAAACUUCUAGACUCUACAAUUCUUGUUGUAUGAGGUUUAACAAGUUCAAGAGAGAAGAUAUUGGCCAAAUACAACACAGAGGCUAAACACAACACCUAUGUUGAUUGUUUGGUGCAUAAGAAUUGAGAUGAUGGAAAGAGGUCACUGUGAGCUUCAGGAAUAGCUUGAGGCUAACUGAUAAAACAGGAAUCAUCUACUACAUAAAAUUCUGGUUUCAUACUUGGCCAUUCCUGCUUAACGGAGCUAACAAAGAAAUUUAAGGGUGGAUUGACAAUUAUUCUCUGGACUUUUUGGUAACCAAGAACUUCUAGCAACUAACCCUGGCAUGACCACCAGAAUCUGCAGGGCUGAGAGAAGAAAGAAAGGCAAAAGUGGAUGAAUGCAGCUGAAGGUGCUGUGGAACUCCUAUCACAUUCCAAGUGCUGUGUUGAUAUCUGGAGAUAUAGACAAGAUCGAAGCAGAUGCAGUCUUUCACAUGAAUAUUUGAAUCAGGCAGUAUGUUCCCCAAAUUAGCAAAGUAUCUCCCAGAUUUUUUCUUUGAUGAUAUAUUUGAAAUCCUAAUGCUGAAAGUUAAAUUAUCAGGGUUUUAAAACUAGAAGCAGUCAUUAUCAGAAUUUUAUAUACUAUUUAUUUUUAAGAACGUAAUUUGACUGUUUAAGUCUUAUUAUAAUUUUAAGUGAAGUACUUUGGGCAGUCAUAAAUAAAGUAAUGGGCAGGUAUUUAGUAUUCAUAUUGUGUGGAUUCAUAUCCAUACUCUGCCACUCAGUAUCUCUGGGAUUUUGAUGAAUGAUCAAACUCUCUGAGCCUCAGUUUUCUAAUCUGUAAAGCAGAAAUGAUAAUGGUAUGUAGUGAUAAUUAAACAAUUUACUAGUUUAAUGGAAUGGCUUCAAUAAUACAGUAAAAUUAAGAUAUUCAAACAAGCAGGAUGCAGGUGAUGGGUAUUGGCCUCAGCUUUAGAGACCAGAGGUUAAAUCUCAGUGCUGCCUGCCACAAAACGAUCCAUGUAAGUCAAUAAACAAUGCUUUUUAAAAUAUUA